rnacentral:rRNA from 1 species
GAUGAACGCUGGCGGCGUGCCUAAUACAUGCAAGUCGAGCGAACAGACGAGGAGCUUGCUCCUCUGACGUUAGCGGCGGACGGGUGAGUAACACGUGGAUAACCUACCUAUAAGACUGGGAUAACUUCGGGAAACCGGAGCUAAUACCGGAUAAUAUAUUUAACCGCAUGGUUCAAUAGUGAAAGACGGUUUUGCUGUCACUUAUAGAUGGCUCCGCGCCGCAUUAGCUAGUUGGUAAGGUAACGGCUUACCAAGGCAACGAUGCGUAGCCGACCUGAGAGGGUGAUCGGCCACACUGGAACUGAGACACGGUCCAGACUCCUACGGGAGGCAGCAGUAGGGAAUCUUCCGCAAAGGGCGAAAGCCUGACGGAGCAACGCCGCGUGAGUGAUGAAGGUCUUCGGAUCGUAAAACUCUGUUAUUAGGGAAGAACAAAUGUGUAAGUAACUAUGCACGUCUUGACGGUACCUAAUCAGAAAGCCACGGCUAACUACGUG